AUUGAACGCUGGCGGCAUGCUUUACACAUGCAAGUCGAACGGUAACAGGCCUUCGGGUGCUGACGAGUGGCGAACGGGUGAGUAAUGCAUCGGAACGUACCCAGAGGUGGGGGAUAACGCAGCGAAAGCUGUGCUAAUACCGCAUGUGAUCUGAGGAUGAAAGCGGGGGACCGAGCAGCAAUGUUUGGCCUCGCGCCUUUGGAGCGGCCGAUGUCGGAUUAGCUAGUUGGUGGGGUAAAGGCCUACCAAGGCGACGAUCCGUAGCUGGUCUGAGAGGACGACCAGCCACACUGGGACUGAGACACGGCCCAGACUCCUACGGGAGGCAGCAAUGGGGAAUUUUGGACAAUGGGCGCAAGACUGAUCCAGCAAUGCCGCGUGCGGGAAGAAGGCCUUCGGGUUGUAAAACGCUUUUGGCAGGAACGAAACGGUGUCCGCUAAUACCGGGCGCUAAUGACGGUACCUGCAGAAUAAGCACCGGCUAACUACGUG
rnacentral:rRNA from 1 species